UCGUAAAAUGGUGAAUUAUUCAAUUCAAUUGACAACUAUAUGCAGGUUUGUUCACGGAGAGUCCCAUGGGCGUUUGUUAACAAAUUUCAAGCGAUUACUCACUUAAAAAAAACUGGAUUUAUCAAGAUCAGAUGUGAAUCAAGACCUCUGGGAAAACUCCCUCGUCCAGGCAUUUCUGCAUAGCAGACCUAAACAUCCCGGGAGCCUCUGCAAUAGCUACUUUUAAUGCCAAGUUCGGAGCUCCGUCCAGACCUGAGGCCUUACCUACGCUAAGGGACUUUGCUAUCCUCGCAAAUUCUUCACCGCCAGCCCAAGUCCUCUGCUGUCCUACGAAAGAAGGCCAAGGACUAGGGUAAUGACGCAGAAAAAGCCCCUCGAUGACCCCCUCCAACAUCUCUGGAGACUGCUCUGUAGGAGCCAUUACACCUCUUGUCUUGGACAUCACGAUCCUGUAGGCAUCACCCCACGGAUUCGCAUUGGCAUUCUGACAGAAAUCUUCAAAGCAGGCCUUUUUGCCCUAAUCUCAAUGUUUGGGCUGCAAAAUGGUGGGUCGAUAAGGAGAUCGUCCAACAUAGGUCUGGUCCUCACAAGUUCCUACCUCAUGCUUCCACGCACGGAUCAAGCGAUGACAAAGACCGCCAGCUAAAAGUGGUGUGUUUAGCUGGAAGUGUAGCCUAGGUACUGUUGACCUUCUGACUUCAACUAGAUUGAGGAGGUACGUCCCGAGCGUCUGUUCACCAAGGAGGUGCGGCUCAAACAGCGUGUGUUCUGGCAUCCAGCGGCUGAGUAUGAAAUGCUCUUCCACCGGAAGCUAUACCUAAGGUGGCAGCCCCUUCACGGUGGAUAGGGGACCUUAGGCCAACAACCUACUGUUCUCCAAACCCAAAAACCGUUACAGAAACCCAAAACCGAAAAUGAAAGAUCACGAACUGAUUCAACGGCAACGACUUUUAGAACGAAACAACGGACAAUAAUUGGAACUUGGAAUGUAUUGGCCCUAGCCCAACAGGGUGAACUGGCACAAUUAGCCAAUGAGGCAUGCCGUAUGAAGCUUGAUAUCCUCGGACUGAGCGAAGGAACACCACCUACCGUUCGAUUUACUCUUCUUCAGUUCAUGCUCGCUGCAUCCGCCGCCUAGCCCGUAGGUAGGCGUGGCGCAGGCGUGAGCUCGAGAAUCUUUUCACCCGUCUAAUACUGCGCACGUUGGCUUCCAGAUUCACAAGCUUGGCGUCGUUCCUCAUCGCCUUCAAGACUUCCGAGUACUUAGACUGUUCGGUCUUGAUGACGAGCGCAUCGCCCUUCUCGCGCUUGGCACCUGCCCUCCUACGUUUCCUAGGCCUGUCCCUUCUCUCCUACGGUUUCUUCUUCUUCCGCUCUACUUUGGUCCAAAGGACGUCCUACACCGCCCUGACCCACCCUAACUUGUGGUUGCUGAGGACCAAACAGUGGUCGCAGCCCCCUGUUCGCUUCGAUCCGGGACAGGUCGGCCUUUUCAGGCCCACCCUUCCCAUCUCUCCGGGACGCCUGUCUGGGUUUCGACUUGCCGGCUUUACUACCGACCUCAGGGGUUAACUGCCGCCCAGCCUUGCGGGCGUUGCCUGGUAGCUUCUCACCUAAUGGCUGCCUCACAUGCUUCAGUGAUUGUUUGUCGUAAGCAAUAGCAGCCGCCACACUUUAAGGACUACUCGCGAAAGCGAAGGCCUCCGUCUGGGUAAACAUCGGAACCUUUGUCUUUGCGGGUUCUGCCGCUGUCGUAGUUUCCAUGGUUUCUCAUGGUAUUGCUCGGUUGCCUUCAUUGACUUUCGAAGUCUUAGCAGGGCCUGCUUGAGGUCCUUGCUGAUGUUGGACUUCAAGGACGCAAAUUCAAUAAUGGAAUCAAGCUGCUGCGUAGCGACCUCCAUCGUCAGAGAGCCCAUCUAGAUUCUCGUUCCGUCCAAUACCACACCCGACAAACUAGCCGGGGAUGACAUUGGGUUACCGGCGCUGGCACUACGUGCACAGCUCCCUAUUCCUUCUGCUUUCCCUCACAGAGACCUAUCCAACACGCUUUUCUCGAAGGGGUUAACCUCGCCGCCACUACCGCUACCUCCACUAGAUUUUUGAUAAUUAUUGUAAUUAUCUAAAUUUUGAAUCCCACGAGUAGCCCGAGAAAGAAAGUACAUUACAUACAUACAUAGAUUUGUUCAACACCAUAUUGUAGCGGUCAGGAGAUUUUGUAUAUAUUUUGUAAAUAAGUCUGUAAAUAUUUAAAAUAAGAUAGAUUGUAAGAGAAUACAAUCUGUCUCAGAUAAUUCAAAUUUGUAAAUAUCCCUUAGCUUAGGCAAACGAAAAGCAUUCAUUAACAAACGCUUCCCGAGGUCGAGGCCAUUUGUUUUCUGGAUAAGGUGGGAAAGGGAAAGCAGCACGACUAUCGGUCAAGUUAUCCACAUCACAUAGCGGUGUAGUCACGAUUGAACACGAAGGGUUUCGGGAAAUGACGUACUUCCGGGUACGUCCGAGAUCAUUCACUUUUCCUUAUCUGGGGCUACAAAGACUCGAUCAUUUCGUCCGUGAUAGCUCAAAGAGUUGGAAGUGUCCGCGUUUGCUUGUUAGUUUUUCGUGUGCCUAGAGUAGGUUUAAUGUGAUGUUGGAUAUAGUUAGAUAGUUUAAUUUCUGUGUUUCGUUCCAUAGUAGGCCAAACGUGUGCGUAGAUAACUGUGUGCGAUUGUUGAACGAUAAGAAGCCUAAGGAAAGUACGGGCAUUCAUCUUCAAUCCGCAGAUUCUCGUACCCAAACGUGACCGCUUCUCCCCAGCGGACGAAAACACCCGGCGACCGUCAACCAGCCGGAAGCGGACGGAUCCGUCACCAAAUCGGUCCGAGAAGGCCCGGGGACCUUCAGGUGGACGAAGUCCACGAGCUGGUGCGCCAACUGACCAGCAGGGCAUCAACCAAUUGCCAGAAACCGCCAUCGCAUAGCUACCGUCAACCGCCAUUGCGAUCACGCGGUGACGAGCCGAUCAACGACAGCGCCUUCAAUCAACCAAGCCGCCGGUGAGUCAACGACCCGGCUUACAGGUCAUCGACUGCUGAGGUUGAGUAAGCAGAACAGAUCGGUGAGUCAACCAAUUUCUUUUAUUUGCGGAGUGCGGCGUCCGCUGAGGGCGCCGCGGAGGAUUUUUUUGUGCCAGUCAAAGACUGAUGAGAUGAAGUGCCUUUAGAGCCAAUCGACCUGUUUUGAACAUCGGAAUUCAUUCCGAUAGCGUCUUGGGAGCCACCGUCUUCGGUUCCGUGAAAAUGCGUGCGUGAGCCCGUCUUCGCCACCACUGCAAGAAGGUCGGAUACUAGGAGCGCAGACAUUGUUGAAGCUGAGCUUCCGAUAAGUGACGUCACGUGAAUAGAGCAGUAGAGCACUGAGCACAGAUAGGGAGAUAGAAAGGGAGUGGCUAGUAAUCGCACACCAGCUAGGAGCUUGUAAAUAGGGAACGAACGCAUACAAUGACAUGAAUUCGAAUUCGAUCGUAGCAAUAAAAAUGUAUGUUAACCUAGGUAGUAAGUGAAUAUAUUCGUAUCAGUUUCGCCAAAACCCCAAAUAGGUAAAUGUGUUAUGAGUUUCCAUCCUAGCAAUAUGAUUGUUUAAUUGUAUUUAGCAUCACUGCGCGGCUUGCUGUAGUUUCGUGUCCCGUCCUCCACACGUAGAGUUUGAUUGGGUUAUCUUAUGAGUGUCUUCCAGCUCAGUGAGGGAUCUGGUGGUGAGAAGAGAGAGUUCUGCCAGUGAUGAGAACUUCUUUUCAGUGAGAUCGUAGGGGUUCAGGUGAGAUCUCUCACCGCUUCUCUGAGUGUCGUCGUGAUUGUGCUGUUAUGUUGUGGUAAUAGGGAUUUCCCGUUUGGCCGUUUUAAAUCGUAGCCAGCUGGAUCGAUCCAUAAAUCCUUUCCAGGAAAUGAAAUGGACUCGCCCUUAGGGAGUCUCAUCCGGGCAAUUUAAAAUUGGGCUCGUGGUCUCCUUUCGAGGAGUGGCGCAUAAGCCACGUGUUUUAUGCUGGAUCGCCCAGCAACGGCUACAAUAUUUAAGACAAGACAUUAUCAACAAUAGUACACCACAAUACUCGAUUUUUGACUGCCGCUCUCCAUCCUCGGUCGCGCCCAAAGCUUGCUAGGUCGCGCUCCACCUGCUCCACCCAUCGUGCUCUCUGCGCUCCACGCAUUCUUGUGCCAACCACCAGCUUUGCAGGGUUGUUAUCCGGAAUUCUUGCAGCAUGCCCUGCCCACCGUAUCCUUCCGGCUUUGGCCACCUUCUGGAUUGUGGGUUCGCGUAAAGUGCAGCGAGCUCGUGGUUCAUCCUUCUCCGCCACACACCGUUCUCCUGCACACUGUUGAAGAUCGUCCUUAGCACGCGUCGCUCGAAAACUCCGAGUGCUUACAGGUCCUCCUCGAGCAUGGUCCAUGUCUCGCGUCCGUCACCGGUCUCAUUAGCGUUUUGUACAUGAUGUAUUUGGUGCGUGAGUGAAUCUUUUUAGCCCGCAGCUUCUUUUGGAGCCCGUAGUAGGCCCAAACUUUCGCUGAUGAUGCGCCUUCGAAUUUCGCGACUCACGUUGUUGUCAGCCGUCAGUAAGGAUCCGAGGUAGACGAAUUCCUCCAUCACCUCGAAGGUAUCCCCGUCUAUCGUAACAUUACUACCCAGACGGAUCCGGUCGUGUUCGGUUCCGCCUACCAGCAUGUACUUUGUUUUUGAGGCAUUCACCACCAGUCCGACCUUUGCUGCUUCGUGUUUCAGGCGGGUGUACAACUCUGCCACCGUUCCAAAUGUUCUGGCAAUAAUGUCCAUGUCGUCCGCAAAGCACACAAAUUGACUGAAUUUUGUGAAAAUCGUUCCCCGACUGUUGAGUCCGGCUCAUCGCAUCGCACCUUCCAGAGCGAUGUUGAAGAGUAGGCAGGUACGUAGAAUCUUGAGAAAUGGGUUUAAUUGAGGUUCAACGAAAACCGCUUCAGUUACAUAAUAAAGAACAGUUUGUAUAAUGUAUGAAAAAUAUCCUACAUUGCAGAAUAACAAUUGAAAGUUAUGCAAAAAAACUGAUAAUGAUUUUAUUGGAAAAUAAAAAAGACAUCGCACAAGCAAGGUGUCCUCUUUAUAAAAUGAACAGUCCUUACUAAAACAUUUACACUCACACCAACACAUUUACAUGAUCUACUCAAAUACACUUACACAAUCUGAAUCUUGCCGCAUCACUCACUUAUAGUCAAUCCCUAAUUAACCCAUUCCAAAUAUCGAACUCCUUGACACUUAUGGGGGCGUCGGUGAGUCGCUAACCUCUUGUAAAGUAGGUGUCAUAUCAUCACAUCCUUUCCUAUCCUCGUAACGGAGAAGAUGGGCGUGGCCAGCAAUGGAAGUUUUCAUGUCUUUUUUGCUUCAACCUCUGAUUGGAUAGCCAUUCCUUCCCAAAUAGCUUUCCAUAAGCAAUUAGAAUAGAAGUAUUCAAGUUUUAACAUGACAACUUUCAGUAUGCAAUCUACGAAUUACUCCGUUACCACGCAACGCAACGCAAAUAAAAACCACAAACCUUCUCGGGUCAACACCUGACGAGCUCGAAUCGUCCAGGUUUCGUAGUUUUCGUUUGUUUACUCUCAUUGCCAAUAAAAUCUUGUCCGGGAGAUGCAAUUCCAAAGUACUGCUCGGAACUCGCGAUCAGCAUAAUCAUCUGGUAGGUUGUUGGUAAAUAUUUACUCCCUCCCUGUCUGCUGGGGCUCACUCACAUGGGGCAUGCUUUCCGAAUCUCCGCGCCUCUUUAAAUGACGAUCACAUACGAGCGGCCAAACUUAGUAUAGGAUGGAAUCUUCGUACGAAUCGGAAGCACAAGCGAGUUGUAAUCAGCAUGAAGAGGUUGUACGUUUUCGUUGCUAGUCUAGUGUUGCUCUGCAUAGUCGCCGAAAUCAGCGCAGGCUUAGCCAGAAAGAUGUGCAUAAAGAAACUGGAUCAGGUGUUGAUGUUUAUUUGCAAAGAUGAAGUCAAUAGCUUGGACCAGCUUCAGUAUGACACCUACAAAGAGUGCUGCAUAAAGUCAUGCGAAAUGACGACGUUGGAGAAAUUGUGUAAAAAUCAGUCGUAGUUUGAAAUAAGCAGAUGUCUUUUGUUUUCGACGCGGUGCUGUUGAUGGGAUUCAGUCGGAAAUACCUGUGAAUUAAAUUAUUCAAAACAUAAAGAAACUUGACAGUGAUAAGCUUUUGUGUUCAGAAAA